CCUACGGGGGGCAGCAGUGGGGAAUAUUGCGCAAUGGGCGAAAGCCUGACGCAGCGACGCCGCGUGAGUGAUGAAGGUCUUCGGAUCGUAAACCUCUGUCAGCAGGGAAGAACGGUCACUGUGCUAAUCAGCAGUGAAUUGACGGUACCUGCGAAGGAAGCACCGGCUAACUCCGUGCCAGCAGCGGCGGGAAUCCGGAGGGUGCGAGCGUUAAUCGGAAUUACUGGGCGUAAAGCGCUCGUAGGCGGUAUGUCAAGUCAAGGGUGAAAUCCCCGCGCUCAACGUGGGAACUGCCUUUGAAACUGGAAAACUGGAGUGUAGGAGAGGAUAGUGGAAUUCCUGGUGUAGGAGUGGAAUGCGUAGAUAUCUGGAGGAACAUCAGUGGCGAAGGCGACUAUCUGGCACGUAACUGACGCUGAGGAGCGAAAGCGUGGGUAGCAAACAGGAUUAGAUACCCGAGUAGUC
rnacentral:rRNA from 1 species